AAUCUGUUCCAUUUUGCUUCCUCUCGUCUGAAAGCAAAAGUCCACAGACUGUGCUAAUCAGAGGACUGCACUGGAAUCUGAAGGGGAAAUGGUGUCAUGCCUUAGCCAGGCUCCAGUGCUCAGCAUUCUACUGCUGAUCUUUCUUGA
rnacentral:lncRNA from 1 species